GUGAAUCAUCGAAUCUUUGAACGCACAUUGCACCCCCUGGUAUUCCAGAGGGUAUGCCUGUUCGAGCGUCAUUACAACCCUCAAGCACUGCUUGGUAUUGGAUGCCACCCUCUGUGGUGCGUCUCAAAAGCAUAGGCAGUAGCAUCUGGUUUCUAGCGUAGUAAUUUUCUCGCUCAGGAGUUUAGGUGUUUAACUGUUUGAACCCCUAAUUUAAUGGUUGACCUCGGAUCAGGUAGGGAUACCCGCUGAACUUAAGCAUAUCAAUAAGCGGAGGA
rnacentral:misc_RNA from 1 species